rnacentral:rRNA from 1 species
CCUACGGGGCGCUGCAGUGGGGAAUAUUGGACAAUGGGCGAAAGCCUGAUCCAGCCAUGCCGCGUGUGUGAAGAAGGCCUUCGGGUUGUAAAGCACUUUCAGUGGGGAAGAAAGCCUUGGGGCUAAUACCCUCGAGGAAGGACAUCACCCACAGAAGAAGCACCGGCUAACUCCGUGCCAGCAGCCGCGGUAAUACGGAGGGUGCGAGCGUUAAUCGGAAUUACUGGGCGUAAAGCGCGCGUAGGCGGUCUGAUAAGCCGGUUGUGAAAGCCCCGGGCUCAACCUGGGAACGGCAUCCGGAACUGUCAGGCUAGAGUGCAGGAGAGGAAGGUAGAAUUCCCGGUGUAGCGGUGAAAUGAGUAGAGAUCGGGAGGAAUACCAGUGGCGAAGGCGGCCUUCUGGACUGACACUGACGCUGAGGUGCGAAAGCGUGGGUAGCAAACAGGAUUAGAUACCCCAGUAGUC